rnacentral:rRNA from 1 species
CGCCUUGCCAGCCCGCUCAGAAACUUAAAGGAAUUGACGGGGGCCCGCACAAGCGGUGGAGUAUGUGGUUAAUUCGAUGCAACGCGAAGAACCUUACCUGGUCUUGACAUCCCGGAGACCCUUAGGAAACUAGGGGGUGCUUCCAUCUGGAAGAAUCUGGAGACAGGUGCUGCAUGGCUGUCGUCAGCUCGUGUCGUGAGAUGUUGGGUUAAGUCCCGCAACGAGCGCAACCCUUGCCUUUAGUUGCCAGCAGUUCGGCUGGGCACUCUAAAGGGACUGCCGGUGUUAAACCGGAGGAAGGUGGGGAUGACGUCAAGUCCUCAUGGCCUUUAUGACCAGGGCUACACACGUACUACAAUGGCCGAUACAAAGGGCAGCGACACUGCGAGGUGAAGCCAAUCCCGUAAAAUCGGUCUCAGUCCGGAUUGGAGUCUGCAACUCGACCCCAUGAAGUUGGAAUCGCUAGUAAUCGUGGAUCAGCAUGCCACGGUGAAUACGUUCCCGGGCCUU